AAUGGUAAUUAGUUUAAAUUAAAAUAACUGAUUUCGACUCAUUAGAUUAUGAUAAAUCAUAAUUACCAAC
rnacentral:tRNA from 8 species